rnacentral:tRNA from 1 species
GUUGUGGUAGCUCAGUCGGGUAAGCGCCCGCUUCUCACGCAAGAGAUGCGGGUUCGAUCCCGGCGCGGCGCUGACA